CGUCAAGCAAACUCAAUGGUACGGUGCUCGAGGUGGAGGACGUGGCUAACAUGGCGCUGUACGUGGAGUCGGACGAGGCUAGUGGCGGAGCGUGGCAAGAAGUGAAGAAACCAAGAGGGGGCCAUUUUUUAAAACAAAAUAUGCAUUACUAGGAGCAGUGUGAGCUGAUGGUUCAUUCUUGUUCAACACUGCUCACAAACAGAAGUAAACGAGUAUAUGGAGGUGUUAUUUUUCAACCGGAAGCAUGCUACUGACGUAUGCAAGAAAGAGACAAAUUAUUUCCAGCCAUAAUUCAAGAAAACCAAGACUGUAAAGGAGUAUAGAAUAAAAGCAUGCAAAAUGAGUACUUCGGAGUCAUGCGUUUUGGAUCAAGGCAUUGACACAGCUGACCCGCCGGCAGUGACAUGCCUCGUCGAUCAAAGGCAUUGUCACAGCGAACCACCCCGCAGAAAUGUCGAGCACGACGGACACCACGUCGCGGCCUGAGGGAGAUUCUCAAUGUGUUGAUCUCGCUGCCGAAGGAGCAGAGACAAUUGGUGCAGCAUGAGGUCGCGGCCGCGACGACCCUGCGGCCCGCGCACACGAGGUCAAGGGCUCGAUGUAGAACUCAUUGCCGAUACUGGGGAGGCGCUGUCGCAGCACCAAUAGGUCCUGCAGCCUGCUACACGGUAGCUCUCAAACUGCGCAGAGUCAAGAUUGAUGCUAUGGUACCAUUAAUGAUUCCAGCAGAAGAUAUUUGCAACCUGAAGUGUUACACAAGGUCAGCUUCAAGGCUAUGAAGCGAAAGAUCAGACAAAGGUUUUCGCCAUGUUUGUCCUUCAACUUAGUAACCAUUCAAAAGAUAUAUGGAUGAUUAUCUGGGUGUGUGGCAAGAAUACUGCAAUGAUGAUGACGGUGUUCUGGUUCAUGAUGAUGAUGAUGACGACGACAUACCCUUUUAGUUGUAGUUAAGUUGUAGGGAUGUUGUUCCUGUUGGAUGAUGUUCCUGUUCCUUAGUUAAUUUUUUGUUAAGUUGUACGGAUGUUGAUGGAUGCUUUCGUUAAAGUUUUGAUGUCAAGAAAAUAUUUAGAUUGUGUAUCACAUUUGGAUGAAGUUCCUCAUGUAAUAUCCACUAUUGUAAUCCAACAGUUCUAUCCAAUAUAUGAUUUC